rnacentral:rRNA from 1 species
CAGCAGCCGCCGCGGGAAUACGAAGGGUGCAAGCGUUACUCGGAAUUACUGGGCGUAAAGCGUGCGUAGGUGGUGGUUUAAGUCCGUUGUGAAAGCCCUGGGCUCAACCUGGGAAUUGCAGUGGAUACUGGGUCACUAGAGUGUGGUAGAGGAUAGUGGAAUUUCCGGUGUAGCAGUGAAAUGCGUAGAGAUCGGAAGGAACAUCUGUGGCGAAGGCGACUAUCUGGGCCAACACUGACACUGAGGCACGAAAGCGUGGGGAGCAAACAGGAUUAGAGACCCCUGUAGUCCCUGUCUCUUAUAC